CCCUCCCUAGCUCCCCGCGCCAUACUCCUCCGACUUCCGGCCACAUCCUCGUCGCCCCCUCGGUGACCUGCGCGCCGCAGCGUGAUUCCCGUACGGAGCCCGGCCACCGAGCCACACAGCCUCGCCUCUCCAUAUAUACACCCGCCGUGCUUCCCAGCGGCGCCGCCGCCGUCGUCAAGCGCCUCUCCGGCGACGUCGCCGCGGGCCUCUCAAGCGCGCUCCUGCCGGCACGGAGCUCGUCUGCACGCGGCAGGCCGUGCUCGACGGAGCCAGCCCGCUCUGCUCUCGCCCACUUGCGACCGGCCGAGCUCGCCGAGGCCUUCCUGCACGGACCUCGCUGCACGUGGUGGCGGAGCUCGCCAGAGCCUGCCCCGCGCUCCUGCCCGCUCGUGCGGAGCUUGCCCACAUGCGGCGGCGGAGCUUGGUAGAGCCUGCAGUCGCAGCUCCCGCCCGUCCGCGGCCGGCUGAUUUCGCCAACCCGCUUGCCGUUGGAGAAGUAGAGCAGAUUAAUGGGGCAGUAGCUCCUGCUAUAUUCUUGCUAUGGAGAGCAAACGGCGGAGGGAGGAUGCGUGCUGCCAUGCUGGGGAAGAAGCAAGUGGCGGUGAUUGGAGAAGUACAGCAGAUCGAUUGGGCAGCACCUCUGAUUUGAUGCAUCGAAGAGCAGAUAAGGGAAAUUUGAGGGGAAGAGAAAUCAAGAGAUGGUGCAAGCUAGUUUGACAAAAUAGCAAUCUGUCUUUUUUUUUAAGUGCGUGCAGUAAGGUGAUUGGCAGGACUAUGAUAGUACAUCACUACCAGAAAAAGGAAGACUCCUGAUGGCCAAAAACCGUCAGGAAUUAUCGGAAUACCGAUAGGAAUGCAAUUCCUGACGGCCAACCGUCCAGAAUCUGCCGACAGGAAUUGGUAGUCAGGAAAGACUACCCUUUACUGACGGUUGGCCGACAGGAAAGUUUUCCUGACGGGAGUUCCUGACGAAAAACGGGAGGGCUAGUCUGGGUUACAUACCUGACGGGCAGCCGUCAGGAAUCUAUGGUUUUGGCCGUCAGGAAAUCAACUAUUAGCAAUAAAAAAAAUUACACGAGCGGAACUACAUACAUCAAAUUCAGUUUGUAUGCUAGUUCCAUAUACAUGUCCAUCAUAUACAUAUAUCAGACUGUCAUCCAGCAAGCUAUUGGAUUAGAAUGAAUAAAUGACUACAAGAUAUACAAUUUUUCAGAUCUACAAGUCCUUGUAUAUAUACGACUCAUGUCUAGUCUUCAAAAGUUACAUACAGAUCAAUACAAUGCUAGGUCAAGGAAACUAAAGUUCAGUUCACCUUUGAAGUUGAAUAAGUCAAGUAUCUCAGCAUCCCUCUCUACAUCUGAGCUUGGUCUGUCCUGAAAAGAAGAGUUCCAAAACUCACUUUGAGAGGGAAAAUGAGAAGCUGCGGAAGGAAAAUAAUGGUCUUCUAGCGUGUUGUGCCGGUAAUGUGAAUCGCUGUUCUAAUCAUAUGUGCAAAUAAAAAUACAUAUUGCUGAGCUAUCACUGGUAACAGGCAUUGGCUACUAGAGAACUGUACUAUGACGCAUUAGCUCAGGAAACUGCAGCAAACUUGAUACUUAAUUUGUAAAUGCUAUCACAUAUAUAGAAAUUAAGGAUACAACUUUCUAUCUCUUUGGACUAAGAAACAUAAGUAGAACUAAUCUGUUGUGAUGCAGGAUCCCAUGACCUCUGAGUGGUUAGUAGUUUUGCUCCAAAUAUUUUUCUGUUGUUUGUUUCAUCUGCUUUGGUUCCUAAGAUGAAAAAUAGUACUGAAAAUGGAAGCCGAGAGCAGUUCUUUUGAAGGACUGAAUAGUCAUCGAUAUAUCCAAUCUGGCCUGUAACUAGCUGUUUCAUACCAUGUUAGAGCUAUUACCAUUCUAAAAAGUAAAAAGGACUGAUUAAUGGAUAGGAUAUGCUAAUCAUAUGUCUUAUGUACUUCAAGCCAAAAUCUAGUGCUAACCUUUUUACCUUUUGCCACAUAGUAGCAACCAAAUUAAAUGGCCAGCAAGCCUUGCUUUCUUGCUGUCGUCAUGCAUAGCCCAGCACUGUGUUAAAUCAGUUGUUACCUAUUCAGCCAAGUCAUGCAUAGUACACCAUGAGUAAUUAUAAGAAUUAAAGAAUGGCUAUUGAAUUGUUGUUUAGAGGUUGGUUCAGUGGAUGCAAAUGAAUAUAAGCAGAGAUUUCCUAUCCAAACACCAUGAGUAAUUCAAUCAAUGCAAAUUGCACUAUUCUUUCCUUCCAUCAGUGUUAUUGUGAUAGCAAGCAAAACAUUGCAAACAUGAUUUAUCUUGCAUAUCCAUCAGUGUUAUGGAGAAGGAGCCAUCAUGGCUAUCUGCAUUUACCAAUCAGUUCAUAUUGUGCUUUUUACCUGAUCAAGUGAUGAGAUGACAAAUCAUAGUAGUGCACACAGCUAUCAAUCUGCUGCCCUGAAAUUGAAUUGAAUUAGUUCAGAUAUUUUCAUGAACAAAUACUACUAUGCUUCCUUUGCCAUCUUGGUAAUAGAUUUGUUCAUUGGAAAAACUAGGUUAGAACAGUAAUGAAAUAAGUUAAGAAAUAUAGUCAUAUUCCCUUUCCAUAAAUGCAACUGUUUCACCCAAACUGGUAGUGCAUGAUGUCGAUUUACUUCACUCUGAGAGACCUGAGGCGAAGAAGGGCUGGGCUGCUGGAGGCUCUCUGUUUGUUCAAGGUACAACAUGCAACCAGAGUGAAACUAAAAGAGAAUCUUUUAUUCUCUUAGAUUCAAACCGGAGUGAAGCUAUCUUUUUGCAGGAAUCAUUUUGACGACCUGGACAAGGAAGUUCGCUGUGGUCUGUAGUGAGAUGAGGGUAAUUGUGAGUCUAGAUAAUUUUGUUAACUGAUAGUGAGUUGUGUAUUAGAAUUUAGAUGCAUGGGUUUACUCGAGGAUUAUAUUGUAGGGUAAAUGAAUUUGCUUAUCUAGGAGAUAAGCCAUGUUAUUGCU